GCAUGAAAUUGUGCUUUUUGAAUGAAUAAAUGAAGCAGUGUUUAGCUCUCCUGGCUGAUUUCCUGCUCUGGUGGUGUUCUGCAGAUCCUUGCUGACGAUGGUGGUCGCUGGAGGCAGCACUGUUGAAGAUUUUAUCAUUUACAGACAAGAUCUCUGAAAUCUGUUUCCUUCAGACAGCAAAGGAAGAAGAGGCUUCAUCGCAACGAAACGGGCAAAAACCACAAAGACUUGAAGAAACAGCACUUCUCUAAUUCUUCCCAAAAAAAAGCUCCCAAAACCACCAAAUCCUAAAGGAUUACACCCACCAGUCUUCCUGAUUUCAGCUUGGAGUGAACAAGAUGAGCAGUCCCACCUUCAGUCUAAUGCUUAAUGAGGAAAAAGGCUGUUUGAUUGGAGCCAAGGAGUCAGCAAAGAACCUCAGGAAGACAACUUGGAUCAUGACCAGAAGAUAAAAAGAAAACAAAAAGAAUGUGGCAUAUAAAGGGUGUAAUACCUGGAGGUAUUGGAUCUGACUCAUGUUUAUAAAAAUGAGACGAGCUUUCACAAAACACAAGUUAUCUUAGACAGUCAUCAAGCUUGGAGCCAUCAUGCUGUUGAACUAGAAAUUCUCCUUUUCCCCAUUCUCCUUUCUGACAGGUAACAAAGGAUUGAUGAAUUAUGAUUUUCCCAAGUUGGAAGCACUAAUUUUUAUCUAUAUAGUUCAUCCUUAUGAAUAUAUAAGGAGUUAAACAUUGCAUAUUUAAUGUGGAUUAUAAUGGGAAAGUGACUCAUUAACCAAAAUGGCCACUUUUAAGGACUUGGUUUCAAACUGAGCUGGAGCCUCCCGAUGCACUUUGUAGGAUUUGGGGGAAGCUGUGCUGCAGGGCCUGCUUUGGGAGGCCAGGAUGACAUGUAGUAAAAGGAUAUCACCUUACUGUUGAUAUCUCUGAAGAC
rnacentral:lncRNA from 1 species